rnacentral:rRNA from 1 species
UUGAACGCUGGCGGCAUGCUUUACACAUGCAAGUCGAACGGUAGACCCUUUCGGGGGUUGAGAGUGGCGAACGGGUGAGUAAUACAUCGGAACGUGCCCAGUAGUGGGGGAUAGCCCGGCGAAAGCCGGAUUAAUACCGCAUACGACCUACGGGUGAAAGCGGGGGAUCGCAAGACCUCGCGCUAUUGGAGCGGCCGAUGUCAGAUUAGGUUGUUGGUGAGGUAAAGGCUCACCAAGCCGACGAUCUGUAGCUGGUCUGAGAGGACGACCAGCCACACUGGGACUGAGACACGGCCCAGACUCCUACGGGAGGCAGCAGUGGGGAAUUUUGGACAAUGGGGGCAACCCUGAUCCAGCCAUGCCGCGUGCGGGAAGAAGGCCUUCGGGUUGUAAACCGCUUUUGUCAGGGAAGAAAUCUCUUGGGUUAAUACCCCAGAAGGAUGACGGUACCUGAAGAAUAAGCACCGGCUAACUACGU